rnacentral:sRNA from 1 species
UAAACAAAUAAAUUUACAAAAAAAAAGGCUCAAUGGUGCGUGGGGCCUGACAAGCCAGAUCUGAUUCCCCGGGCCACACAGGUAGGGGAGAACUGAUUCCCACAGCCAGACUUGCAUGUCAGAGAGGCCCCAGCUCCUCCCGCUUUCCUAACCCACGCUGGGGUUACAGGUUGCACUCCACCACACCUAACUUCUUAUGUGGGUACUGGGGCCUCCUCUUUGCAUAGCAAGCACUUUACCCAGGGGAGCCAUUGCUCCAGCCACGCCCCACCCCCCACCCCCAGCUAUGUAUUUUCAAGAGCUGCGUGUAGGUCGGGUAGGUGAGACGCCUGUGAGUCAGGACAGCAAGGCCUGUGCUACAGCCCACCUCUACGUAGAGCGGGCUCCCGUACCAGCCCAGGCCUUAACCGCCGUGGCCUCCCCCUCCCCCAGGCCCUUUGUUCUUCGCUACAGCUGCUCAGCAAAUUCCUUGAUUUUAAAUUAUGAUCACAGGUUGGAGAGCUACUUAAAAUAAUCUUGCCAAAUGUUCCAUCUCUGCGCUGAUGAAUACAGUGGAGGAGAAAUUUCAAGAGGGGGAGAGGAAAAAAAAAAACAUUAAGAAUUCACUUUGUUCAGGGGGAAAGGAAAAAAAAAAAAAAACAGUCACAGCUUUGGUUUACAUCUAAGGAUUCUCGCGCGCGCCCCCGCCCCGCCCCGGAAGUUGAUUGUGUGCUGACCUUCAGUGAGCCAGUGAGCCCUGUGCCAGCAAAGAAAGGAUCCCUGGCCCUUGUUGGAGCCUCAGUUUUUUUCACCUGCUGAAUGGACACAGAUCUGUCCAACUCACUAGUUGAUUUCAAGGAUGAGACGAACCUGUCCCAUAGUCCUUGAAAGGAGUCUCUGGAGAAAUUUCUGGAAGGAGAAGACAGAAGCUACAUUUCAGCCACAUAAAUGACACGUGAUGCUGAUGUUGACGAAUGCUGCCCCACUGUUUAUUGAACACCACCAGCCCCUCUCAUCUGCUCCCUUAUUGGGUCCCAGAGCAACCUAGGAGGUUGGUUUAUUUGAUUCUGAUCUACUUUUAUUUCACAGCCAAGAAAACUGAGGCCAAAGAUGUCUGAAGUCAGAGCCAUUUAUCUUCCAUCCCCCGCAGGGGUGUCCACUGUGCCUGCCCCGGUCAUAAUGGCUUUCUGCUAAGGAUGUCACCACACCUUCUUGAUGGAGACUUGCCACCUGCCCUGGGCAACCAGCCCUUCUGAAAGCGAGCUCGAUUCCAAACUCAGGGUUAAUGAUAAAACUGAACAACGUAAGGCCUGGCCUUCCCUCUCCCUCUUUAUCAACAUGUGACUUAGGUUUGAGUGCCAAGCUAAACCUUUCAAGAGCCACAUCCUCGGCGGUGACUUAUUAAAGGGUAAAUCAAAGUUUGCUGGGAGAGAAAAGCAAAUACCCAAUACUCAGCAUGCCAGGCUGAUCCCGAGCCCACUUCCUGGUUCCACUGUUGACUUGGGCUGUAAUUCUAGAUAAGUGUGAAUACGUUCACCACCCUGGGCCCAGAGGGCAAGCCUGGGAAGAGAGCCCGGGACAGAGCCUGUCCCUGCCCCUUACACACACACACACACCAGGACCUGACAAGAAGCUGGCUCUCACGGUUUGCCUCAGAGGGGAAAACCUCAGACAAAAUCAAGGCAGGUACAGAGCUCUCUACACAGCCUCUUGUCCUUGUGUCUGUGUUUGUGAAGAAGUGGGUCACCCACAUGUCACGUCACCAAUAGAACCUUCCCGUCCUUUGGCUCUGCUCACCCAUAAUUAGCGGAACUGAGGAGGAGAGGAGCUGCACUUUGGGCCUCAGAUGGCAGGGCAGAGAAAUCAGAGCAAAGUUGACAAGAGUCAACCGUAAUCACAUAGUAAGUGUUUUUUUUUUUUUUUUUCAAAGAAACAAAUAAAAAACAGCCAGAAAGUGGGUCAGCGCUUACAGUAAGGUCAGAGGCAGGAAACUGGGACAAACUUCAAGUCCUGAGAGGAGAAACAGGAGUUGUGUUUUCUGAAUACAGACUUGUGCUAUCUUUGGGAUUUUACCCCCUGCUGAUGCUUUCUCCUUUGCCUCCUGAAUACACAGGGCCUUAGUUCCAAUACUCCAUCUUCCCAGAGGCUGAAGACAAAAGGCACUUAAAAAGACUUUACGGAGAUCCAGGCAUGGUAGUGUAUGCCUGUAACCCAGAAGCAGAGGGGGGAUCAGGAAUCAGGGGUCUUCCUCAGCUAUACAGCACUUUCCAGGGCAGCUUGGCUACAUAAAAUCUUGUCUCAAAAAAAAAAAAAAAA